rnacentral:rRNA from 1 species
CACGCUGUCGGUUCGCCGCCCGUCGGUGUCAACUGGCAUGUCCUGUGGAACGUCCUGCCGGUGGCGGACCGGGCUUUCGGCUUGCGUAAGGGCUUACGCCCGAAGCAGGCCGAACAGUACCGGCCGCCGGUCCAAUCCCGCCACGGUGCUCUUCACCGAGUGUCGAGGUGGGCCGGCACGUUUACUUUGAACAAAUUAGAGUGCUUAAAGCAGGCUGGUGUCCGCCUGAAUACUGUGUGCAUGGAAUAAUAGAAUAGGACCUCGGUUCUAUUUUGUUGGUUUUCGGAACCCGAGGUAAUGAUUAAUAGGGACAGGCGGGGGCAUUCGUAUUGCGACGUUAGAGGUGAAAUUCUUGGAUCGUCGCAAGACGAACCUAAGCGAAAGCAUUUGCCAAGUAUGUUCUCGUUAAUCAAGAACGAAAGUUAGAGGUUCGAAGGCGAUCAGAUACCGCCCUAGUUCUAACCAUAAACGAUGCCAGCCAGCGAUCCGCCGAAGUUCCUCCGAUGACUCGGCGGGCAGCUUCCGGGAAACCAAAGCUUUUGGGUUCCGGGGGAAGUAUGGUUGCAAAGCUGAAACUUAAAGGAAUUGACGGAAGGGCACCACCAGGAGUGGAGCCUGCGGCUUAAUUUGACUCAACACGGGAAACCUCACCAGGCCCGGACACCGGAAGGAUUGACAGAUUGAGAGCUCUUUCUUGAUUCGGUGGGUGGUGGUGCAUGGCCGUUC